rnacentral:lncRNA from 1 species
UCACGGUGACAUGGUUUCUUAUUCAACCAAGGAAUGCAACCUGUCCACGGAGACCAGCAUUCCAGCUGAGCUCUCAAAAGAAGUAUUUUUCCUGACCCUAAAUUAGUGGAAAAGAUAAAGCCGUGCCUGUAUGAGAAACUUUACACUUACACAUUUGGGCACAGCCCUGCAAUAUACUGGGUACUUAGGGAUGAGAGAGCUAAAACUCCAAGACCCAUAGCCCUAUAGCUCUCAAGUAAGGUGUGGACACUAUUUAUUUAUGACUCUACCCUGUGAGCUCUAAUUCAAAUCUAUGGCCAAUCAAAUGAAAAAGCCAAUCAGUGGGAGUAGUGUUUUACUUAGAACCCAUUAAAGCAAUUUAAGUGCAGGGUAUUUUUUUUCCAGGUAUAAAUACCCAGCUUUCCACAGGAGAGCAAAUGUACAUGUGGGAAUACCUUUAUGAAUGCUCUGGGUGAGGUGGAGAGAGGAGGCACAUAAUACAGCCUUUCAGGGAACUCAGCAGCCGCCACAAAUCCACUUAUGAACAAUCAAAAACCAUGGAGCUUGUAGCAGAAUGUUAGCGCUCAGUAAUGCUGUUAUUUAAGAGAAAUCAGAGGUUUGGAUGAAGCGCAUGGAGAAAUGGGCCAUUAUAAAUUUGAAUACGUGUUACUUUUUGGUGGAUCUAGUAGAUCCCCUCCAUACUUUAUCCCUUGCUCUUGUUGCAUUUCAAUUAUGCAAAUAGGCAAGGAGACAUAUGGGCAGGGAAGAGUACUUUGCCUAUAAGACAUGGUUUAUAGCCCAAUGCGGUGCAGUUUUUUUUUCCUACAUUUUGCACGCUUCGUGAUUUGUAGAGAAGCAUAGAAGGCACCUGGCUUGGGGAGGGGGAGGCUUUCCCGGGUCCUCAUGUUUGCACAAUAAGUACUUUGCCUACCAAGCCAUCUUCCCAGACUUCUGGCUAUUCAUUUGUAUGUGAGGAAGCAGGGCAAACACCAGGCAUGUUAUUCACCUUAGUCAUUUGCUUCAGCUCCACAGUCCAUGCCCCAUCUGUAAGCAGUAGACAGGACAGGGAAGACAGUAGCAAUAGUCCAUGCAGGACCUUGCACUAGGAGAGACCCAGGAAGUAUCAGUGGAGUGUCUUCACCAAAUACCUAUGGUCCUCUGGAUGUCAGCUCUUAAGUAACCCUGGCAAGGUAACUCACCCUGUUCUUGACUCCAGCCGGAAAUAAAGCAAACAUCAAACAAAAGCUCAAGCCAGUUCCCUUGGAUAAUACAUUCUGCCAACCAAUGUGCCAAGGGUGAUUGUGUGAUACUCUGUGUGUGUGUUUGUACCUGCUGGUUUGCUUUCGUUUAUUUUUAGCAGGUCACUUCUUCAUGAAGUAAGGUGUGAGCAGGAGUCACAGUUUAAGAGGCGCUGAAACAGGCUACCCUGUCCAUGCAUUUAUCAUCAAGGCAGCAUAGAGUCUCCACCCUACCCGUGCCCCAGGGAUUGCAGAAGAAGUAGGCGUGGGGCCAAGGAGCCCUGGAGCAUCUCCUAGCUAACCUCCCUCAGGUAUAUUAGUAUUCCCUAAAUUACAUUGCCACUCACUUCUAUGUAGACAUAGUCAUGUUGAGCCAGGACCCAAAGCCAGCAGUGUUUCCCUGCUUCCCUUGGGUUUACCCUCAGGCUGUCCACUUCCUCCCGUGAUGCUCUCUGGAUCAGGGCCAGCUGUUGCUUCACGUGGAAAACAUCUACCUAUAUUUAGUGUCCCCACUGGGCCACCCAGCAUCAGCUUACUGUUACUUCAUAUUCAUUAAUAAUUGGGAGAGGAGAAACUGCAACAAUGUAGCACUCUACGUAUUUGCAUUUGCGUUUCAUUUCAGUUAGAGCAGACGUUUAAAGAUUUUGUUGGCUUUAAAGUCUAAAUUUAGAAGUUCUUGGUAGGCGAAGCCGGUUUCUCCAAGGGUUUGUAAUCUAACAAUUCAAGCCCUGUUCUUUUGCGUGUAGAAUUAAUCCUUCCCAGUCGGUUCUAAUGCCUGAAUGGAGACAGUUGGAAAUAUUUGGCAGAUGGGUCUCUGUGCUCUCCAUUAGGAAUGAAAAAGUCAAGCAUUUUGGUAGGAGAAUGUACUUGGCCAGAAUCGACCAGGCUUCCUGUGGCUGUGUUCCCAUUAGCAGGCUUUGGGGGCUUCCUGUGGCUGUGACUAUAGUUAGUGUGGUGGAAGAGUGGACUGUAUUAUUCUCACCUCU